UACGUAGGGCGCGAGCGUUGUCCGGAAUUAUUGGGCGUAAAGAGCUCGUAGGCGGCCUGUUGCGUCUGCUGUGAAAUCCCGGGGCUUAACCCCGGGCGUGCAGUGGAUACGGGCAGGCUGGAGGCAGGCAGGGGAGAACGGAAUUCCCGGUGUAGCGGUGAAAUGCGCAGAUAUCGGGAGGAACACCGGUGGCGAAGGCGGUUCUCUGGGCCUGUACUGACGCUCAUGCACGAAAGCGUGGGGAGCAAACAGG
rnacentral:rRNA from 1 species